AUCAUACUCUCUCCGUCCCAAUUUUUUUUUCUUAGAUUUGUUUAGAUAUGAAUNUAUCUAGUCAUGUUUUAGUAUUUUGAUAGAUCCAUUUCUAAACAAAUCUAAGACAAAUUUUUUGAAACGGAGGGAGUAUAAU
rfam:Hordeum vulgare subsp. vulgare, WGS project CAJW01000000 data, contig: morex_contig_41354